UGCGGUUCUGAGCGCGCCGUCCGCGCCCACCUGACAGCUGCUCGCAACGUUGUGUUAG
rnacentral:sRNA from 1 species